AUGAGUGCUAAGAGAAUGAUUAAACAAUUAAAAGCUUUCUUUAAUUGAAUAAUUGAAUUUAAUUUUUUAGUGCAAAAGCAAAAAUAAAAAUUAGGGACAAGAAGACCCUAUGAAUUUUUUAUUAAAUUUUAUAAAACUUUAUAUAAAAUUUAAUUUAAUUGGGGUGAUGGAAAAAGAAUAAAUAUCUUUUUUUUUAAAAAAAAUUGGUUCCGUUUUUAGCGAUUAAAUGAAAAAAAUACUCUAGGGAUAACAGCGUAAUAAUUUUGGAUAGUUCAUAUAGAUAAAAUAGUUUGCGACCUCGAUGUUGGAUUAGGAUUCUUUUUUGGUGAAGAAGUUAAAAAAAGAAGUUUGUUCAACUUAUAAUUUCCUACUUGAUCUGAGUUCAGACCG
rnacentral:rRNA from 1 species